rnacentral:rRNA from 1 species
GACGAACCGUCCGAACGUUGUUCGGAAUCACUGGGCUUAAAGGGCGCGUAGGCGGGUCACCAAGUCCGGGGUGAAAUCUUUCGGCUCAACCGGAAAAGUGCCUUGGAUACUGGUGGUCUGGAGGGAGGUAGGGGCAUGUGGAACUUCCGGUGGAGCGGUGAAAUGCGUUGAUAUCGGAAGGAACUCCGGUGGCGAAAGCGACGUGCUGGACCUCUUCUGACGCUGAGGCGCGAAAGCUAGGGGAGCGAACGGG